rnacentral:rRNA from 1 species
UGGGGGAUAUUGCACAAUGGGCGAAAGCCUGAUGCAGCGACGCCGCGUGGGGGAUGAAGGCUCUCGGGUUGUAAACCUCUUUCGCUAUCGAACAAGGCCCGCUUAGGGUGGGUGGAGGGUAGGUGGAGAAGAAGCGCCGGCUAACUACGUGCAAGCAGCCGCGGUAAUACGUAGGGCGCGAGCGUUGUCCGGAAUUAUUGGGUGUAAAGGGCUUGUAGGCGGCUUGGUGCGCCUGCUGUGAAAACGCGGGGCUUAACUUCGCGCGUGCAGUGGGUACGGGCAGGCUUGAGUGUGGUAGGGGUGACUGGAAUUCCAGGUGUAGCGGUGGAAUGCGCAGAUAUCUGGAGGAACACCGAUGGCGAAGGCAGGUCACUGGGCCAUUACUGACGCUGAGGAGCGAAAGCAUGGGUAGCGAACAGG